rnacentral:rRNA from 1 species
AGUGAACGCUGGCGGUAGGCCUAACACAUGCAAGUCGAACGGCAGCACAGUAAGAGCUUGCUCUUACGGGUGGCGAGUGGCGGACGGGUGAGGAAUACAUCGGAAUCUACUUUUUCGUGGGGGAUAACGUAGGGAAACUUACGCUAAUACCGCAUACGACCUACGGGUGAAAGCAGGGGAUCUUCGGACCUUGCGCGAUUGAAUGAGCCGAUGUCGGAUUAGCUAGUUGGCGGGGUAAAGGCCCACCAAGGCGACGAUCCGUAGCUGGUCUGAGAGGAUGAUCAGCCACACUGGAACUGAGACACGGUCCAGACUCCUACGGGAGGCAGCAGUGGGGAAUAUUGGACAAUGGGCGCAAGCCUGAUCCAGCCAUACCGCGUGGGUGAAGAAGGCCUUCGGGUUGUAAAGCCCUUUUGUUGGAGAAGAAAAGCAGCAGGUUAAUACCCCGCUGUUCUGACGGUACCCAAAGAAUAAGCACCGGCUAACUUCGUG